rnacentral:rRNA from 1 species
CAGCAGCCGCGGUAAUACAGAGGGUGCAAGCGUUAAUCGGAUUUACUGGGCGUAAAGGGCGCGUAGGUGGUUAUUUAAGUGAGAUGUGAAAUCCCCGGGCUUAACCUGGGAACUGCAUCUUAUACUGGGUAACUGGAGUGCAAUAGAGGGUAGUGGAAUUUCCGGUGUAGCGGUGAAAUGCGUAGAUAUCGGAAGGAACACCUGUGGCGAAAGCGGCUCACUGGACAAUAACUGACGCUGAUGCACGAAAGCUAGGGGAGCAAACAGGAUUAGAUACCCCCGUAGUCCCUGUCUCUUAUAU